UGAACUUCAUGGACACAGUGGAGGAGACUGAGCUCCCUUGAUUUCUGACUGCAUACAGUGUUCGGUCAAUAAGAAGUCAUAUGGCAUCAGAGGAAGAGAGGAGAAAGGUCAGAUGAAUCUGCUCAUAAUCCCAAAGUAUUCUCCCUCCUGACUACAUCAGAGAAACUUCUCAUGGCAUAGAAACUGCCAGCAGCCAGAUGAAGACACCUGUCCCUAUCUGCAUGUGGAGUCAUAAGCAGUCAUUUCCUAGCUUGGCAGCACUCCUUCAAGUGACAUUUCCAACACCACCUAGAGAACCAGGAAAUUCAGUCAGGCAGGCAGCACCAGAGGUGGGCCUGAUCAAGUCCCUCUUGGCAAAUUCUUGUUCAAGAAAUAAAAAGGGGAAGACCCUGGACAUAAAUCCCAACAUGCUAUAGAUAAUUUUUUGGAGGUAAUUGCUGAUUUGCAAAUAGGCAAAGUUUUUAAGCUUUGACUUGUUUAGAAUAUGGAAGAAAAUAAUAAUAAUAAUAAAAAGGACAGUCUAAUUUCUUUUCUUUUAUAAUUACCCACACAGAAUGAAGAGAACUGAGGAAAUUAAUCUUAAUGACCCAAACCCCUCCCCUCUAGAAACAUACUUUCCCUCAUUGUAUGGGUAUUUCAAAUAAUCAGAUCCCCCAAAUGGCUUCUAGUUCUUCUCCUUUUCAUGGCUAGGUAGCUUUCCUCUUUCUCUCUUUUUUUACUUCCUUCCUUUCUUCCUACAAAUAAUUAUUGAAUACAUAGAAUAUUACAGGCCCUUAGGAUACAUCAGUUAACUUUAUAGACAUUGUCUUUGCCCUCGUGGAACUUAGUCUAGUUGGGGGAUCAGGCAUCAAAUUAAAAUUUAUACAAAGUGUUAUAUAAUUGCAGUAAUUUCAGUAAUAAUAAAUAUAGUACUAUAUUAAUUUUUAACAAGUCUUUAAGUUCAGGGAAGGCUUUCCUAAAGAAAACAAUAUUCAUUGUUGAGACUAAAAGAAUAAAUAAUACAUAAAGCAAUCCCAAAUAUAGAAGCCUCCCAGAAAAUGGAAAGACAAAGAAAAUGAACAAAACAAUCUCUAAUACAGUCUAGAUUUAGACCCAUAGUCAACGUUAUAUCAGCAAGAAAGUGAUGCUCUUUCUACAAUCUCUUUUUGGAAUCCUAUUCCUGAAGAGAAGAGACUGCUGUUAAAUACCUGAAAAAAUGUCAUCACUAUUAACAGAUAACCUAAAUGUAUUUGUAAUCCAGAGCUUAGAUGAUCUGUAUAGCUAAAAGAACAAAUACCAGCAAAUAAUACCCAAAGGGGUGUUAGAAAACAUAUAUUCUGUCCAACCUGAAUUAUUUGCAUCCCCAGUAUGGAAGUGUAUUUAUUAGGGUAUAAGUUUGACUGCCAUGACAGAAACUCAAAACAAUAGAAGCUUAAACAUAGUGGAAGUUUUGUUUUUCUCUCUACUAACCACCUGAGUAUAAGAAUACUAGAAUUAGGAUGGUAGCUCCAUGGUGUGAAGGCACAGUCUUCUUAUAUCAUGUUGUUUUAUGCUCUCUAGAAUGUUGCCCUCAUCUGCAUGUUUCAAGAUGACUCAUAAGAAAGGGAAAAGAAGUUAAAGAGAAGGUCAUUCCCUUUUAAGAGGCACAACCCAGAAUUUUCUGAUGUCAUUUCUGCUCUUAAAUCAUGACCUAGAUGGACCUAGUCACAAGGCCACACCUAGCUUUGGAAACAUAGUCAUUAUUCUGGGUACUCAUAUGCCCAAGUGAAAAAUAUGAGAAAGAAAAUGAUAUCAGAUAAUUGGGGGAAAUUCAUAUACCACCACAAUGACAAACAUGAAAAACAUUAUGAUAACUCAAAGGAUAUAACAAUGAGUGAGGCUAGUUUCCUGACCUGAAGGAUGCCAGGAGCCAAUGGUUGGGAGAGGCAGCAGACAUGCACUAGAGGAGAGGUAGAUUUUAGGGAUGAGGAAAGGCCAUACAUUGAUUCUCUUUGGGGAAUUAUCAUAGAAAAGGUAACAGCUAAGUUGGGUUCUAAAUUAUGUGUCAGAUUUCAACAGGAAGAGAAAGGUAAGAACCUUUCAGGAAGAGGAAACCAUGUUACAGCAACUUCCUUGAUGGAUCUACAUGAGCUUAAUAUGCUUGUUGCUGUAUCCACACGUUAUCUUUAGUCAGAUGAUUUAAAGAAUAAUCUUAAUUACAAGUCUUAGUCAAAGUAAUGAGUAUUAUCCAUUUUAAUGCAAAAGUGAAUUGUGAAAGUUUUUGAAUCAUAACUAGUGCAUUCCUGAGUGGUGAGAUCCCGCUUGAUAGACCUAACAAAAUGAUGAAGGCUGAGAUUCUUCUUGGAAGUGUUAAUCCACAAAGUAUGUAGCCAUAAACAUGCCUUUUCCUUUUACAUUCUAAAGACAUCCACAAAGUAAGGUAAACAGUGAAGAAGGAUCUGUAAAAUAAUCCAUCUCAAGACUAUCACAACUCAUAAAAAUUGAGUUAACUAAACUCUGUCCAGAUGAGAAAAUAGCAGUCAUAAUUUCCAUGAGUAUAUGAAUUUAUGGUUUUAAAAGAGUGUACUUUACAUUGUCAGUUAAUACUUAAUAUACAUCUAUGCUAUAGGUACAGCUGGUAUUAUUAUUUCAAUUUUAAGAAUGACACAACCAAAUCUAAAACAUAUAAA